UUUGCCUCAGCCAAUCUUCAAAGCCUUUGGUGAUGUGUGCAGCACCUCUUGGGAAAUGUACACAGCAGAUUUUGUCCCAGGUUUUGGGCAGCGACCAGCAGGGGAUGCAAACCGGGUGCCCAACUCUCUCGCAGGCACCACGGGAUCCGGGAACCAAACCUCCUCUAGCCAGUGCAGGUGGGGUGAGAAGCCGGCCCUCCCCCUCCUUGCUUUCAGGACCCUGGCCGCUGCUUCCUGGUCUGCCUCACUGUCUGUUCCUGGUGGAAAGGCUGUUUGUUCCCUGGGCUGGACGAGGUAAGGAAUCCUCCUCUGGGAUCACCGCAAAUGUCCUGCAUCCUGGAGACGCAACAGGAAACACAGCCCUCAGCACGUUUCAGUCCCCAGGUGUCACCCAAAUGCCACAUCCUGGGAUGAGGAACAAAAGCUGAAUUUACUUUGAUUUGAGAGGCCCCAGUCCAGCUGCCCCUGGAGACCUUCCCCAUUUGAGAGGAUGUGUGAAGGGAGCUGGGCUUCCUGCCCAUGCUGAGUAUCACAGUCUCAGUGACUUCAUCCCUGGAAUCCUCCAGGCCCGGGACAGAGUCCCUGGCAGCAGGGAAAGGGCUCUCUGCACUCUCACGCCCACUGCCCUGACCAGACAGCACUGCCCUGCUGUCCACACUCCAGCCUCUUCUCUGUCUUCUGCCCUGCCGGGCACCAGGUUCCCACCCCGUUCUCCCACCCGCAGCUUGGUGCAAACCCUGACCCGUCCCCUCUCUGUAUGUAGCCAGAUCCUGCCUGUUAUCGAGUCCCUGGCUGCCUCACUUGCAGACUAAGGUUAUUUCCACAAGUUACAUGACCUCAAACUCAUGUUUAUCCUCUUAUGGGCUCUGGAACUGCCAUGAAGAUCCAAUGUCUCUGAAGGCCCCCAAAGUUAUACCAAAAGCAGAAACCUCACUUGGCAUAGUGAGUCUGAUGUAAUCCUCUCCCAUAGGACCCAACAUAACUGCAGGAUGGCGGGAAGGGAGCCCUGCCUGGGCUGCUCAGUUCGGUCAACUGAUCAAUUAAUUGGAGGUGGUGGCAGUAUGCCCACGGUGACUGCAUCAGGGGUUGGAGGACGAUAGGAAUGGUGGAAGGUGAGGAGGGGACAGGAAAUGGGUGUUAUCAUGGAGAAUGAAACAGGCCCUAAAGUGGGGAGGGCAGAGGGAAGUCCAUGUGAUGCACAGAAAGUUACGCAGACGGUGGCCAACUCUCAGAGACACAGAGAUGGCCCAGGCGACCCUUCCUGGUCACAGUUAUGGAAUGUGGUGACUGGAAAAGUGUUGGAGAUGGGGACCAAGAGGCUCCUGGGGCUGGGCUCCAUCAUCCCAGGAGUAACAGGAACCUGGUUCCCACCUGCACUCUAACUUCCUCCUUUCUUUCCCAAGGCCACCCUGUUGCGCUUCCUGCCGGAGGACAUGCAGCCGGGAAUGUGGCAAAUUGCAAGGAAUCUGAGAGUGGAGGCAGCGGCAUGCCUGUCAUUCAGUUCCUGUCUCAUCUUCCUUUCACCCUCCCUUUCCUUUCCAUCCCCCUUUUCUUUGUCAGGAGCUUCUCUUUGGAGCCCCGUGCCAUUCCCUCUUGCGUCUUUUAGGACCGUCCUCCUGAAGGACCUGGUCCCACCCAGGCAGCUGAGGUCCUGGGUCUGCACUGUGGAUGAAGCCCCAGCCCUCCUUUCACUGCCUUGGCCCUGUCCUGGGUGCUGACCCCAGGCUGCAGCACUGACUCCUGCUGAGCAGCCCCAAGGGCUCCAGGCAGGGAGCUGGGCUGGGGGAGGAAGGAAAGUCUGGGUCUGUCCUGGACACCCCCUCACAGGGCGUUUUCUGCCCUGGGGGCUCUGGACAUGCGCAGUUCUUCUCUUCCAGAAGUCAGGACAGUGUUCCAUUCUCCCUGCAGGAGAGGACACAGAGGACACAAAGGUGGAAGAAAAGAGAGGGAGUGAGCGUGGAGGGGCCGCACGAAGAGGGGCCGGCAGGACGUGCACACGGCCCAAUGCUCCUCGCACUUUCUUACUGCCCUGACCACUAAAUCAGUGCAGUCCAUCCCAGAAAACACUGGAGCAGCUUCUCUUAAGGGGAACUCAACAGCCGCAGAGGAGAGAAUCCUUUUCAACAAUCCACACACCAGAUUCCCAAAGGCUACCCAGUUGAACGUCUACAUUAAUUCGCUUCCGCAAGACAUUUAGGGAGACAGACUCAUAGGACAGAGCCUCACAAGGAAUUCGCUUCCCUGUAACUGACAAACGCUAAAGAGCAGUGAAGGUGGAAACAAUGCCAGUCUCCUACAUGCUCUUCCAGAGAUGAGAUGUGGGGACUCAUCCAGCUACCUCAUCAGAUCAGGAGACACUAGACCCCACCCUAGCAACAGACACUUCAGGGAAGGGGAACGUCAGGCCAAAGGCUCUGGAGAGGAUGUGUCCGAAUGUGACGGCAAUCUUCAGCAGUCUCGAUUCUGAGAUGCUUGGAAGGAAAGCUCAUGGCUUGUGGCUACAACAAGAAGAGAUCACGAAAGAUUCAAAUUUAGAAUACACCAGAAAGGUGAUCCGGGCUCAACAGAACCUCCUGGCCAUUCCCAGAGCAUCCCAUUCGGCAUCUGGCAACAGCAUGGAGCCUCGGACGUCACCCCUGCCAGCUCCUCCACUAAGGGCGUCAUGGACCUGAAGCCAUCAGGAGAUUGGGGUCUUUAUUGCGGUUUGCGCAGCAGGGCCUGAGUCUUGGUGAGGAAGGACAGGAGCAGGGAGGCACCCACUCAGAGCUGGGGCAGCCACUGUUUCUUCUCAGCCAGGCCUCAGUCCAGUCUGCUGGGGCAGCUGCUCUGAUCAACAGGCACUGAGAUCCUGGCAUCUUGCAGGCUUCAGUCCUCGAGCUGCCCAAGCACCAGCCCAGCAGGCCACGUUUUCAAAGAAUCUGAACUGCCCAGGAGCCCGGUUUGGUCAGUUGAAUGCAAAUGUGUUUCAAAGUCCAACUGUCACGUUGGCAGUUGGUGGCAGACGUCCCGCAUUCCGAGUUGGUUGGGAGUUGAGAAGGCUACUGGUCAUUCAGGGCAGUCACCCUACCCCACGGGAGUGUCUUCACAGGGCAGCCACAGAGUCACCGUGGGGGCAGACAGACACAAAUGUGGACCCCAUGCCUUCAGGAGGGCUUCAUUUGGGGAACGUCAUGGCAUUUUGGGUCAGGGAUUGAAAUGUAAACCCGGGAGUUGAGUCGGGAUUUGGGCCCUUCUCUUGGGCCAAGCGCCUCCUCCAGGCAUCAGUGUCUCCCUGCAGCAGCUGUGGGGUUGGGGCUUUGGACGAGGAGUGAGGAGGGUCCUUGGUUCAGUAUCCAGGGCGGGAUCUAAUGGUCUUGAUGCAGGUGAGCUCAAGAAUUGGCUCUGCUCAGGAGACAAGAGGGAGCCAACAGUGAAUGAAGGCAUGUCUUGGUGAACAAGUGUCGCCCAAAAUGGCUGCUCCACAGAGAACAGGGCUGUCCAGAGGCGUGAAGCACCAGUGGAGGGAUGGCUGGCUGAAUUUAUACCAACUCCUAAUUAUAUGCUAAUUAGGGGGCGGGCUAUUCUGGUAAAGGGGCACCAGUUCCUGGAACCACAUAAGGUAACUUUCAGGUCGUUGCCAUAGCAUUUGUAAACUGUCAUGGCCCUGGUGGAAGUGACUCAAGCGAAUGGAUUAGAAUUCCUUGUCCUAGCUGGUUUGGGCCAGUUUCUUUGCUGCAUCUUGUUUUGAUCAGCAGGGCCAUGACAGGUGCUUGGAAAGUGAGUCCUGCUCGUCUCCUGCCUCAGUCUCAGGUGUUCGGGCAUCUCCAUCUCUUGGGAACCAAUCAAUUCCCUGCCUGAGCGUCAUUACCCGUCAGUGUUGCUACUCCGAGCAAGUCACUGGAUCUCUGUACCUUUCAGUGCCCUGAAUCAUAAAGUAAAGGUCACAGCCCCUGCUCUGUCCAUGCAGGAGCUGUAAAGUGUCGUGCCCGUGCCCAUGUGGAACAGUAGGGCUCUGUCCUGUGUGACACUCCCAGGCACACGUGGCUUUGGUCUCAGGUCAUCGGGUUCCGGCACCCAUGCCCUGGUCACUGUGUUGUGCUAAGUUCCUACACGGUCUCAUCUAAAGAAAGCGACGGGUCACACACAAUCUGUGGGUGUUUUCUGCACGGCACACUCCAGGAUCCCUCCUCGUAACCCCACUUUCAUUCAGGUGGCCCCGCUGCACAGUUAGUGAUAAGGAGAUCGUGGGUUCCAGUGAAGAGUGUACAUGGGGAUGGAUCCUUGGGGAAGAAAGCGUAGCCCCUGGCGCCACAGCUGCAUCGAAUCAGGCUCUGGCGGAAGAACCAGGUUAAGCCUCAAAUAUCAUCCCGUACAACCCCCUCCACCGAAGUCCCUGGGGGAUUUAAUCAUCGAGUUCAUUCACCAGCUAUUGUUGUAGUUUAUUUAGUGCAACAUGUUUAGAAACAAAAUACUUAUAUUCUUCUGUACUGAAAUAUAAUUCGCAUUCCAUAAAUGCACCUUUUCAAAGGAUACAAUUCGGUGGUUUUUAGCAUAUUCUGGUUUUGCCUUCAUACUUUCCCACUCCAAAAAGAAAACCCUUGCCACGUCAGCCAACCCUGUUCUCUCCACAGGCCCUGCCCUGCCAACCCCUCAUCUGCUUUUGGUCUACGGAUUUUUUUAUUCUGGAUAUUUCAUACACAUGGAAUCAUACAAUGGGCUGGCUUUUGUGACCUGACUUCUUUCUGUAGGCAGAAUGCACUCAAGUUCGCCCGUGCUGUGGCCUGUAUCCGGACCUCGCCUGUUUUCGGUCAAUAUCAUCCAUUGUGUGGACAACACUGAUUUCGUUUUUCUAUUUAUCAGUGAUGGACAAAGGGGCUAUAUUCAUUUUUUGACUGCUAUGCGAAAAACCACUGAAUUGUAUCCUUUGAAAAGGUGCAUUUAUGGAAUGCGAAUUCUAUUUCAGUACUACUAUAAACACCUGUGUUCAAGUUUUUGUAUGAACAAAUGUUUUGUAUUUCUCAUGAGUAUAAGACCAGCAGUGGAGUUGCCAGGUCAUGCGGUAGCCCUGUGAGUAAGUGUUUGAGGAAACACCAUAGGCUUUUCCUUCUCUUAUUUGCGCAAGCAACAUGGGAAGGUCCCAUUUCUCUCAUUGCCAACACUUGUAUUUGCUUUUUCAAUUAUAGCCACACUAAUGGAUGUGAAGUGCUACCUCAGUGGUUUUGAUGGGCAUUUCCCUAUUAACCAAUAAUUUUAAACAUGUUUUCAUGUAUUUAUUGCCAAUUUGUGCAUCUUCUUUAGAGCAGUAUCUAUACAAAUCCAAUUUUCACUUUGAAAAUUUGUUAGACAUUUUAUUGUUGAUUUGCUAGUGGAUAACAGACCUUAUCAGAUACAUGAAUUGCAGAUAAUUUAUUCAGCUCUGUGUGGUGUUUUAUGCCUUUCAUGAUGGUGUCCUUUGAAACACAAAAGAUUUUAAGUUUGGCGGGUCCUGUUUAUUUUUCCUUUGGUUGCUUGUACUUUUGGUGACACAUCUAAGAAUUCAUCACCAAAUUCAAGAAAAUUAAACUGUAUACCUUUUUUUCUGAGAUUCAUGUAGUUCAGCUCUUUUACGUUCUUUUGUUUUAUGUUUUAUCAAAGCCUUUGAUCUAUUUUUAAUUAUCAUUAUUUUAUUAUUAUGUCCAUUUGCUAUUAUUAUUAUUUUGAAACAGAGUUUCGCCAUGUCACCCAGGCUGGAGUGCAAUGGUGCAAUCCCGGCUCACUGAAACCUCUGCCUUCCAGGUUCAGGCAAUUCUCCUGCCUCAGCCUCCUGAGUAGCUGGGAUCACAGGCAUGUGCCAAUAUGCCUGGCUAAUUUUUGUAGUUUUAGUAGAGAUGGGGUUUCACCAUGUUGGCCAGGCUGGUCUCAGACUCCUGACCUCAAGUUGAUCUACCCACCUCGGCUUCUCAAAGUGCUGGGAUUAUAGUCAUGAGCAACCACGCCUGGCCUUUUAAAUUAACUUUUGUGUAUGAUGUGAGUUAGAGGUUCAACUUCAUUCUUUGUGGAUGCUGAUUGUCCUGGCACCAUUUGUUGAAAAGAAUCUUGUCUUUGGCCUUGCCAUCCUUUUUAAAAAUGACAUAAAUGUGAGGGUUUACUUCCAGACUCUCAAUUCUGUUCCACUGAUGUAUACAUCCAUUCUUUCACCAGUACUGCACAGGUUGAUUAUAGUCUGAGUCCUUGUUCUUGUUUAAGAUUAUUUUCUCUAUAUUAGAUUCUAUUCCUUUAUGAGUUUUAGGGUCACCUUGUCAGUUUCAAGGCAGCUGAAAUCCUUAUAGGAAUUUGCUGAAUCUGUCAAUGAAUUAGGAGAGCACAACAUCUUAAUAGCAUUAGGUGUAAAUAUUCUGGUCUAUGAACAUAUGUCUUUCCAUUUUUUAGAUCUUUUACAAUUUCUUUCAAUGAUGUUUUUUAGUUCUCAAUGUACAAGUUUUAUACUUCUUUUGAUGUAUUCAUUUCUAUAUAUUUAUUUGUUUAUUUAUUUAUUUAUUUGAGAUGGAGUCUUGCUCUGUUGCCCAGGCUAAAGUGCUGUGGCAUGAACUUCUGCCUCCCAGGUUCACGCGAUUUUCCUGCCUCAGUCUCCCAAGUAGCUGGCCAGGCUGGUCUCAAACUCCUGACCUCAAGUGAACCGCCCACCUCAGCCUCCCAAAGUGCUGGAAUUAGUGCCUAGCCUCUAAGUAUUUAUUUCUGAUGCUAUUGCAAAAGGAAUUGUUUUCUUAAUUCCAAGUUCAGAUUGUUUAUGCAAGCUCAUAGAAAUACAGUUGAUUUGUUUAUCAAGCCUCGAAGCUUUGUAAAGGUUUAUUAUUAUUGUUUUUUAAUAUAGGAAUAUGCUCAAAAAAACUUGAACUCUUCUCUUAUGUACCGGUGGAAGAAUAAACUCACGUCAACUUUCUGGAAAGCAAGUUGGCAAGUUAUCAAGAUCCUUGGUCAGGCACAGCAGCUCAUGCCUGUAAUCCCAGCACUUUGGGAGGCUGAGGCAGGCGGAUCAUGAGGUCAGGAGUUUGAGACCAGCCUGACCAACAUGGUGAAACCCUGUGUGGUGGCACAUGCCUGUAAUCUCAGCUACUCAGGAGGCUGAAACAGGAGAAUCGCUUGAACCCAGGAGGCGGAGGUUGCAGUGAACCAAGAUCAUGCCACUGCACUCCAGCCUGAGCGACAGAGUGAGGCUCCAUCACAAAAAAAAAAAAAAAAAUCUUAAAAUGCAUCGUAUCCUUUGACACAGUAAUUCUAGCCCAAGAAUUUUUAUUUUAUUGUAAGUUGACAAUUUAUAAUUGUAUAUAUUUAUGAGGUACAAAGUGAUACUGUGAUUUACAAAUACAACGUGGGAUAAUGAAAUCAAGCUAAUUGAUAAAUCUACAACCUCAAAUGCUUACCAUUUUUGUGGCGAGAACAAUUAUCACCUAUUGAUUUUGUGUCCUGUAAUAUUGCUGAAUUGCUCAUUAGUCCAAAUAGUUUUUCAUUUAUUUCUUGUGAUUUUCUGCAUACAGCGCCACGUCAUUUGCAAAUUGGGGCAGUUUUAUUUCUUCCCUGCCCAUUUGUAUGCUAUUGAUUUAUUUUAGAGACGGGGGUUUCACCAUGUUGGUCAGGCUGGACUCAAACUCCUGACCUCGUGAUCCACCCACCUUAGCCUCCCAAAGUGCUGGGAUUCAAAGCAACCACGCCCAGCCUACUUUUUAUUUUUUCAUCUUGCCUAAUAGUUGUAGCUGGAAUCCUCAUUACAGUACUGGAUCAAAAGUGGUGGGAGUGGACAUCCUUAUCUUCUUUUAAUAUCGGGGAAAUUUCUCAGUCUUUUACCAUUAAGUAGUGGUGGGCUUUUCAUAGCUGUCCUUUAUAAGGUUGAGGAAGUUACCUUCUAUUCCUAGUUUGUCAACUAUUUUUAUUAUGAUAGGGUGUUGCAUUUUGCCAAAUCAUUUUUUAGUCUAUUGAGAUAAUUAUGCUUCUUUUUUUUCCUGGCUGCUUGGAGUUUAUUUUCCACUUGGUGCCAGGUACACAGUUCCAGGUAUCAGGAAAGCUCACAAGUGCUAUGGCCAUGGGGAGAGGGGCUUUGUCACUCCUUUUUGGGGUUUGCUGUGUUAAUGGAAAGUCUGCUUGCUGCAUCCGCCUAGUCUACAGGGUGAGGAGUGGGGAGGGGACCGGGGAGGGGGUCUGGUGGCCUGGCGCCUCCGCAGACCUAGGGCUGGUGGUGGCGGCUCAGAUCAGGAUGGGGGUCCAGUGCUGGCUGUGCCGGACUGGCCACCGGGCUACUUCCUGAGAUGUCCCGAGCCAGGCCCCAGAUGGUCAUGUUGCUGGAGGCCUGGGGGGUUCCGGGUGCUCUGCUGGCCUCAACACCAUGGCUAUGAACAGCAGGGUGGACUUCCCGAAAAAAGAAGCUAGCCCACCAGACUGGGGUCAGCCUUGGGGAGACCCGGGGGGUGGGGGAUGGCUUCCCCAGGGAGCCUGGUACUGCCACGGGAGCUGUUGCUGGAACUGGAACCCAGGCGGCCUGGGCGGCCACCCUUCUCAAGCCUUGGCAUAUGAUCACAGGUGGUGAGGACAGGGGCGCUGGGCUACAGAGCAGAUCUGCAGAAGGGACCUCAGGAGGCCACUCCUCGACCAAGAUGUGGGGGCACGAGAGAUGAUUACGCAUUUGACCCUGCUUUAUUAAUAUGGUGUAUUAACAUUGACUAAUACGAAUUUUUGGAACCAGCCUUGCACUGCUAAAAUUAUCCCAUUUGGUCAUCAUGUAUUAUCAUUCUCUUUUCUUUCUUUUUCUUUUUUUGAGACAGACUCUCACUCUGUCCCCCAGGCUGGAGUGUGGUUGUGUGAUCAUAGCUCACUGCAGCCUUGACCUCCCCAGACUCAGGUGAUCUUCCCACCUCAGCCUCCCAGGUAGCUGGGACUACAGCAGUAUGCCACCACACCCAAUUGUUUUUUGUAUUUUUUGUAGAGAUGAGGUUUCACCACAUUUUUGUAUUUUUUGUAGAGAUGAGGUUUCACCACAUUACCCAGGCUGGUCUUGAACUCCUGGACUCAAGUGAUUUGCCUGCCUUGGCCUCCCAAAGUGCUGGAUUACAGGCAGGAGCCACCGCGCCCGGCUGGUGUAUCACCCUUUUUGUUGUCAUUGCUGCAUUCAGUGUGCAAGCAUUUGUUGAGGACUUUGUGCGUCUGUGUUCAUUAAAGAUAUUGGCCUGCUGUGUUCUUUUCUUGCAAUGUUUUUGGCUGGUUUUGAUAUCAAGGUAUUAACCUUAUAGAAUGGGUGGUUGGGAAGUGACACCUCCUCUCCCAUGUUUUAGAAGUUUGUGAAAGACUUAAUUCUGUUGUAAACUUGUAGUAGAAUUCACCAGUGAAUCAAUCAUGCCCCGAUCUUUUCUUUAUGGGGAUUCUGGCCUUUAAAAAAUAAAUUAAUAGCUCAAUCUAUACCUUGGUAUAGGUAUACUCAGAUUUUCUUUAUCUUUUUAAGUUUUGUAGGUUUGUGCCUUUCUAGAUAUUUCUUCAUUUCAUCUAGUUUACAUAGUUUGUUAGCAUACAAUUGUUCAUGGUAUUAUAAUAUUUUUAUAUUUUUGUAGGGUUGGUAUUAAUUUGAGUCUUCUUUUUCUAG